rnacentral:rRNA from 1 species
UACAGGGGGGGCAAGCGUUGUUCGGAAUUACUGGGCGUAAAGGGCUCGUAGGUGGCCAACUAAGUCACACGUGAAAUCCCUCGGCUUAACCGGGGAACUGCGUCUGAUACUGGAUGGCUUGAGUUUGGGAGAGGGACGCGGAAUUCCAGGUGUAGCGGUGAAAUGCGUAGAUAUCGGAAGGAACACCAAUGGCGAAGGCAGCUUCCUGGCCCAAUACUGACGCUCAGGUGCGAAAGCGUGGGGAUCAAACAGG